rnacentral:rRNA from 1 species
CGGGACGAUAAUGACGGUACCGGAGGAAUAAGCCCCGGCUAACUUCGUGCCAGCAGCCGCGGUAAUACGAAGGGGGCUAGCGUUGCUCGGAAUCACUGGGCGUAAAGGGCGCGUAGGCGGCUGAUUUAGUCGAGGGUGAAAGCCCGUGGCUCAACCACGGAAUGGCCUUCCGAUACUGGUUGGCUUGAGACCGGAAGAGGACAGCGGAACUGCGAGUGUANAGGUGAAAUUCGUAGAUAUUCGCAAGAACACCAGUGGCGAAGGCGGCU